rnacentral:rRNA from 1 species
AGGCCAUUGCUAUUGGAGUCCGAUUUAGCCAUGCUAGUUGUACGAGUUCAGACUCGUAGCAGAUAGCUCAGUAACACGUGGCCAAACUACCCUCUGGAGCGCGACAACCUCGGGAAACUGAGGCUAAUCGCGCAUACCGCUCUCAGGCUGGAACUGCCGAGAGCGCGAAAUGCCCCGGCGCCAGAGGAUGUGGCUGCGGCCGAUUAGGUAGACGGUGGGGUAACGGCCCACCGUGCCAGUAAUCGGUACGGGUUGUGAGAGCAAGAGCCCGGAGACGGUAUCUGAGACAAGAUACCGGGCCCUACGGGGCGCAGCAGGCGCGAAACCUUUACACUGCACGCCAGUGCGAUAAGGGGACUCCAAGUGCGAGGGCAUAGAGCCCUCGCUUUUCUGUACCGUAAGGUGGUACAAGAAUAAGUGCUGGGCAAGACCGGUGCCAGCCGCCGCGGUAAUACCGGCAGCACGAGUGAUGGCCGCUCUUAUUGGGCCUAAAGCGUCCGUAGCUGGCCGCGCAAGUCCAUCGGGAAAUCCGCACGCCUAACGUGCGGGCGUCCCGGUGGAAACUGCGUGGCUUGGGACCGGAAGAUCCAGAGGGUACGUCUGGGGUAGGAGUGAAAUCCUGUAAUCCUGGACGGACCGCCGGUGGCGAAAGCGCCUCUGGAGGACGGAUCCGACGGUGAGGGACGAAAGCUAGGGUCACGAACCGGAUUAGAUACCCGGGUAGUCCUAGCCGUAAACGAUGUCUGCUAGGUGUGCCACAGGCUACGAGCCUGUGGUGUGCCGUAGGGAAGCCGUGAAGCAGACCGCCUGGGAAGUACGUCCGCAAGGAUGAAACUUAAAGGAAUUGGCGGGGGAGCACAAGGGCGAAU